rnacentral:rRNA from 1 species
UACGUAGGGUGCGAGCGUUAAUCGGAAUUACUGGGCGUAAAGUGUGCGCAGGCGGCCGCGCAAGUCGAGUGUGAAAUCCCCGGGCUUAACUUGGGAAUUGCGCUCGAAACUACGUGGCUCGAGUGUGGCAGAGGAAGGUGGAAUUCCACGUGUAGCGGUGAAAUGCGUAGAGAUGUGGAGGAACACCGAUGGCGAAGGCAGCCCUUCUGGGCCAACACUGGACGCUCAUGCACGAAAGCGUGGGGAGCAAACAGGA